rnacentral:rRNA from 1 species
UACGAAGGGAGCUAGCGUUGUUCGGAAUCACUGGGCGUAAAGCGCACGUAGGCGGAUUUGUCAGUCAGGGGUGAAAUCCCGGAGCUCAACUUCGGAACUGCCUCUGAUACAGCACGUCUUGAGUCCGAUAGAGGUGGGUGGAAUUCCUAGUGUAGAGGUGAAAUUCGUAGAUAUUAGGAAGAACACCGGUGGCGAAGGCGGCCCACUGGAUCGGUACUGACGCUGAGGUGCGAAAGCGUGGGGAGCAAACAGG